rnacentral:lncRNA from 1 species
CUACCUUGGCCUCCCAAAGUGCUGGGAUUAUAGGGUGAGCCAUCGCGCCCGGCCCCUUUUGAUUUCUUUACAGAAUAUUGCUGUAGUAUAACUUUUUUCCAUGCACUUAAUUUUUGUUCCCUUGUUGGCAUAUUUCAUUUUCUUCCCUGAAAAUGGGUAGACUGAGAUAAGGUAUGAGGAAGCCUUGGCCAUGCCACCAGCCGCUUAUCCCAAAUUCCUGAUCCCUGGAAGACAUCUGGGCUCUCCCUCCUGUUCCAGCCCAGUAGCUUCCAGCAAAGGUACUGGCUCAAUUGGACACGGAGUGUGGAACUGCCUGCUCACACUUGUGAACCCCCGUCCAGAAGGAAGAAACAGAAAGGGCCCAGUGAGUAUAGGAAGAUGCCAGGGCCCACUGUGGAAAGCCUGGAGCCAAGUUUUUCUUAAAUGCAAAUGUCCCCAGUGUGGGGUCACGUCCAAGCUCCAGAAGGAAGCCUGGCCUGGGCGGGGGGGUGGGAGGGCUGUUGCUAGAACCUGUCAAUCCUGCUCCACACUUCCGAGUUUUCCGUGGCUUCUCCUGAAACCCGGGCCUAGGGGGUGGGGCUUGAUUCCUAUCCUAGGGGUACUGGGCGGGGUCGUGUAAAUUAUCCAAUCAGGCGCUCCGCCAGGAGGGUGGGGCCAAGCUCCGCAAGUCUAAGGGGCUCCUGUUCCCCUAACCCACUGAAUUCAGCCUUCCAGAGGCCGAGGUGGCUCCACCACAGCUUCUGUCCGGUGGUGACCAGCACUGAUCUCCGGAGCCAAGGGAGGACCCGGGACACCUGGGAGCCGGGAAAUGUUUUCCAUGGCUCCGAGACAAUGACACCGCUUCAGUGUGAACUCUCAUGAAUUGAGUCUAGAUCCCCAGUGCUGUCCGUCUCACCUGUCCUCCUCUACACAUAUCUGGGAUAUGUCACGGCUUGGUGGUCUUUGAAGAUGUGACUCUGAACUUCAUCCAGAAGGAGUAGGCUUUGCUGGAUUUUUCCGUGAAGAAUCUGUAGAGAUGUGAUGAGGGAAGCCAUCAGCACCUGGCUUCUAUAGCUGCAGCCCAAGAGGCCAACUGGAACGUUAACAUCAGACACUAAUCCAGCUGACUGAGAUUUUUUAAACUGACAGGAUCAUGGCCAUUUCACAGACAACUACCCAAAAAUAUCUACAGACGGCACUGCUCCUACCAACCCGAUACCAGAGAACUCUCUGUCCCCUCGUCAGCAGGAAGUAGCCAGAAAGAACAUGCCGCCCCUCGUCCUUUUUAUAACUAUGAGGUCUGGAUUGACAGAGCAGAAGCAUCACCAUUGUGGAUAAGCGCCUCAUUUUAAAAUUCACCUUAAUCAAAAACUGCCUAAAUCCAAAGGGCAUCAGCCUAAUGGCUAAGGUCAGCAUGAUCACAAACCACAAAUAACAUCUCCAACCAAAAACAUUCCAGACACCUCCCACAGAGAAAUGCUAGCCUCGGGAUAACCCCUCUCCUGCCGGAAAGAUGUCACCCCCAAGAUAACCACCCCUCCGCCCAGAACAUUCCAACCCUGCCACAAACUUCUCCCCCACACAGAAACAUUCCAAGCUUGUAAUAAGCUCCCUCACCCUAAAACCAACGUACAUUCUUAGUCUGCAAGGAAAAGUGCUCCUGACUGACCAGCCAGAAUCCUCUCUCAGGUCUUUUCUAUAAUAAACCUGUCUUUGACUGUCAA